ACGAGCGUAAAAGUAACUAGAUGGCGUGCAAAAUUGCCUCAAAUGGUUUUAACAUUGUCAGUGUUCUACUUUCUACUAUCCUAUUCUUUAUACAUUGCUACUACCCUCCAAAUCAAUUUUCUUCUAUGAAAGGUUACAACCAACCAUAGACAUAGUCACUACAACUUGACGUUUGAUCACAGAAGACAGUCGACUUAACAAAUUUCACUUCCGCCACCUAGCACAAAUUAAAAGCCAAAGAUUAUAUUGUUAAAAACGUGGCGUCCGCUCCACUAUGUGUUUUGAGUUUGUAGCGUAUAUGUCACCCAUUGAUUCCGCUAGAGUUGUACUAUUGUACAAUAGUUGCACAACGUUUUCGUCCGCUGAAUGUGACCAUUGUAAUUAUCAUGUUGGAUUGCAGUGUAAUUGAAUGCGAUAUUAAUGGUAGAAAUAGUAAAUUGAAACUGAGUUGUUAUUUCCUAUAAAAUGCAAAUAUUAAAAAAGAAAUGAAGAGGCAAUGAGAACUUGUUAUUUAGAUGGAUCAGUAUAACUCAAACAUACUCAUCACAUGACUACUGUCUAUUCAAUAGAAAAGUAUGAUAAGUGAUUCUUCAUUCAACUAGUCUAUUAUAAAUGGUCUUUCCGAUGUUCUGAAUGUCAACUACAAUCAUUGGAAGGAAAUGCACUAAUUAUAACGGAAGAAAAUUUGUAGGAGGCCAUUAUUCAGUGGUGUAAUAAUUAUUUGAUAGAUUUUUAUAUAUAUAGACAGUUCGUUACCUUAUAGUUCCACUGUGGUAUGUGCAGUAAACCAAUGCAAAAUAAACAAAUGGCCUUGUGAUACAGUGUUAUGGACAAGUCUACAUUUAAAACAGUUGCAGCUUAGUUAGUUUAAUUAUAAUUAUUAACAUUUCUGAGAAAAAAAAAACUCCAAAAUACAGUCUUUUUGUGUAAAUUUUAGAGCACAAAGAAACAUACAAUUUUGUAAUUCUAUUUUAUUAUAAAUUUAAAAAAACAUUCAACUUGGUAACGUUAUCAAAAACUAAAUAUCCUUAUAAAUAUAAAUAUAAACCAAAGUCACGGAAAUAUACAAAUUAAGUAUUACUAUUUUUGGGAAGUAUAGCUACAUAAUAUGCCCUAUCCACCUCAGGCAUCUAUUUGAACAUGUUUUUGAUAGCCUCAACUUUAUUUUGGGGAAGUGAAUUUUUAUUGGUAGGACGAACUGGUUCCUUUAUCUCUUUUUUAGCAGUAUUUUUUCUGAUAGGGCGAUAAUCACGAAUGGAGACUUUUUUCCACUCGUUAUUGGCGUGGCUAACUUUAUAUUGUAUUUCAAAUAUUCUGGUUGUUUCAACAUAAAUUAUUUUCAAGAAAUAUUAUUUAUACAAUUUUACUUUACAUGACCUUUUUCUUUAUGUUUUUGCCUUGACUUCAGCAGUGCUAUAAUUGUUGUAUUUGUACACUGAUUUUGUUUUUGUUAUAUUUAUGAAGUGUGAUACAUAUUUUGUUGUAAGUAUGACAAACCAAACUUUUCUUAAAAACAUUUAUGUUAUGAACUUCUUAAAUUUAUACACCAAAUGUUUACAGUUCUUUCUUUAAGCAUUUACAGGAAACUUUCUGGCAUUGGCUCUAGCAAAUGAUGAAAGAAUGUCUUUAAAGUCUAAUUUUUUGGCAACCUCAUUUUCUAUAGAUAUAAUAGCCAAUGCAUUUAACCUUUCCUGACUCAUAGUGGAGCUAAGGUAAGUUUUAGUUUGCUAAAACUUCGCUGAGCACUCGCCACAGUCAGGGGGAUGGUCAGCAUGAUAUCUAGAGCAAUUCACAAAUUAGUAAAUAGCUCCUUUUGGUCAUGUGAUUUUAUACUUUUUAAUACCUUGAUAGGAGACAAAAUUUUACUCGAUUUUUCUUCUUCAUGGUUCACUAUACUUUUAACAUGAAUAAUUUCAUUGUACAAGUCUUUUCCAUUUAUGUCACUGAUAUUUUGGAAUGUUAGAAACUCUUGAAGGUUUGGGCAAUUCUUCAUCCGUUCUUCUUUUUCUGGCAGCUUUCCCAAGUCGUACAGAAAACCCCAUAGAGAAUGGUGUUUGUUUAGCUGGGCGGUUCGUUCUGUAAGAUAUGUAGUCACACUGUCAACAAGCUCUUCUAUGGUACCACUAACUUCGUCUGAACCUUCAUACGAAAACUACUUUGAUUUCUUCCUCAAUCUCUCGGCCGUGAAAACCAGUUCAAUUUCCAAUUCUUCGGCAAUUUCCUUAGCGGAUAUCAUUGCGUCUAAAAAACCCUUUUCUCUGAAGGAUGAGAGGAAUUCUUGACAAUUAUCAAGCAGCUUCUUGGCAGAUGUUAAGUCAGCCAUCUUCCCUUGCAAUGUUUUGCUAACUAGAUUAACUUGAAAUAAAAGGACAUGCCAUCAGGCAUGUCAAAAAGGAAAAGUCUUCCAUAUGCUUAAUCAGAGAUUGAGCUUCUGAUGCUGUUUUAGGUUCGUCUACGCUGUCCGCAAGUUCUAUGAGCGCUUGCCUAACUUCAGCAUAUUGGUACCUGAUAGCUUGGAUUGAAGAAAUUCUUGCUUCCCAUCGAGUUUCAUAAACUUGUUUUAGAGAUAAUGACUGAACAUGUUCACUAACUAUGCAGUACCGUUUCGUUGAUUCUGCAAAAAUUGUGUAAAUCCGCUGAAUUACUCCAAACAGUGAGGUUGACUUCACAGAAGACCUUGCACCAUCAGAUACUACAAGAUUCAAACUAUGACUGGUACACGGUGUAAAUGAAGCCCGGGGAUAUUCUUUUAAGACUCUAGCCUGAACACCUUUGUUAAUUCCGGCCAUAUUAGCUCCAUUGUCAUAAGCUUGUCCACGACAGUCAUUCAUGUUAAAAUUGCAAUUUUUAAUCUCUUCAAACAACAGUUUUGAGAGAGCUUCUCCAGUUGAUUCUUUUGCAACUUUGUAGCCAAUAAAACUUUCUUCCACACCUAUAUUGCCACUUACAUCAUUUUCUUUAGUGACAUAUCUUAUUGUCAGGGAUAUUUGAUCUUUGUGGCUUAUAUCUGGUGUGCCUUCCAUAAUUACAGAAAAGUACUCAGAUUUAGUAAUUUUUUUUAUUAUAGCUUGCUUUACUUCGGACCCCAAAAGACAAAUGAGCUCAUUUUGAAUGUUAUUUCCCAAAAGAGUCACAUGGGAGGAGCUAUUAGCUACUCUCCGCAAGUGAUCUGACAUUACACCAUCAAAUUGCCUAAUCAACUCGAUUAAACCUAAGUAUUUGCCGUUAUUCUUUGUGAACAACUUUGAGGAUGAACCUCGAAAAGCGAUAUUAUGUUCUGCGAAAUACAAGGUUAUAACUACAAGGCGCUUAAAAACUUCCUCCCAUCUUUGGGUCUCACGCAUAAUUUGUUCAAUUAGCUCUUGAUUAAUGGAAACAUUUUUUUUAGCCGUAACUCUGCUUAAAGCCAGAUAGUCAUAUAUUUAAAAUGUUCAGGUGAAGAUUCAUGUAAACCUAAUCGUUCAGAGAGGUGUUUCCAGUCAUUAAAACCUGACUUUUGCUCAUGUUGUGAUUUUGAGUUAGACUCAAAAAGUCUGCAACAAAAACAGUAGACUGACUUUGAGCCUUCAGAAUAUACUAGCCAUUUACGUUUAACUUUUUCUCCAUUUUCUGCUUAGCGAAACUGGUAAUCGUUAGAAAAAUGUCUCUUUUGGGCAUUUUUUUGAUAAUUAUUUUCAGCCUUUAAUGGCAAGGGACCUUUUAAAACUAGCUCAUCUUUUUGAAUUUUGUUUAUAAAUUCUGGCCAAGAGGAUGGAUCUGAAUUGAUUUGAUCAACAGUUGUUUUAGGAGAAGAAAUUGGUAAUGUUUUGUGAGCUUCACUCACAUUAAUCUCAUCAAUAGGAUUUGAAUCUGGGAAUGAUGGUUGUUCAUUAGUUCUACUCACGUUCAUCACAGAUGAAGAACUAGAAACGAAAUAUGAUGUUAGUUUUGGCACUUUUUUAAGCAGCGCUUCAGUUGUAGCCUCCUCGUCCCUGGCUAUCCUACGUCUUUGCGCCCUUGACAGCUUUUUAGACAUUGUACCGUACAGCAAUAAUAACUGAAUAAUCAGCGGUAAAUUAUUUCACUAUUAUUGUAACCCAAUCUGCUGAAAAUUACUAUAAUGUGUCACUGUAAGAAUCAGAAAAGAAACUAUAAUUCGAAAAGACGAAAAAAACAAGUUGAAAGACAACUGCAACAGGCACACACUAUUAGAAAUGGCGAUUCCCAUUAGUGUAGUGUGUGAUGUAUUUGUGCGUAAGGACGCGCGUGCGCGUGGGCGAUGUCUUAUGCGUAGUCGCCAGUGCGUAACUCUAGAUCAUGCGUGAACGGACGAGUCCAAUAGUUUUCCCGGGGGAUAAUGGCGACUCUCUUACUGUUUCGGGACGGAAAUUAUUCAGAUACUUCCAAAUUUUGCAAUAAAACACCGGUAUUUUUCCGAGAGUGAACUCCGGACCAGAGAAUAGUUCGGAAAUUUCAAAGGGUCGCCCAGCUAUAUGAAUAUUAUAUUUUGAUUUUGAUUAUUUUAUACAUAAACGAAGAAAUAAAACAACAUUGUAAGAAAAGUUACUUAGCGGACACAAGAAUAUUUCUGCAGAAUAUAUUUGUGCACCCACGUUAAACAGGAUUGCAGGACGUAUUUCCUCUACACAGUGCCGCUGCCGCGGCGCUCCCCUUACCUCGGCGCUCCCCUUACCUCGGCGCCCGGGGCAACCGCUCUCCACACUUGAUUACAUCUGCGUGUUUUUUCUCAUCCGUUUUAUAAUUCUAGCUCGGUAGUAGAUUUAAAAAAAAAAUAGAAAAA